GGUGAACGCUGGCGGUAGGCCUAACACAUGCAAGUCGAACGGCAGCACAGUAAGAGCUUGCUCUUACGGGUGGCGAGUGGCGGACGGGUGAGGAAUACAUCGGAAUCUACUUUUUCGUGGGGGAUAACGUAGGGAAACUUACGCUAAUACCGCAUACGACCUACGGGUGAAAGCAGGGGAUCUUCGGACCUUGCGCGAUUGAAUGAGCCGAUGUCGGAUUGGCUAGUUGGCGGGGUAAAGGCCCACCAAGGCGACGAUCCGUAGCUGGUCUGAGAGGAUGAUCAGCCACACUGGAACUGAGACACGGUCCAGACUCCUACGGGAGGCAGCAGCGGGGAAUAUUGGACAAUGGGCGCAAGCCUGAUCCAGCCAUACCGCGUGGGUGAAGAAGGCCUUCGGGUUGUAAAGCCCUUUUGUUGGGAAAGAAAAGCAGCAGGUUAAUACCCCGCUGUUCUGACGGUACCCAAAGAAUAAGCACCGGCUAACUUCGUG
rnacentral:rRNA from 1 species